CUACGGGCUGCUCCAGUGGGGAAUAUUGCACAAUGGAGGAAACUCUGAUGCAGCAACGCCGCGUGGAGGAUGACACUUUUCGGAGCGUAAACUCCUUUUAUAUAGGAAGAAGAUGACGGUACUAUAUGAAUAAGCGCCGGCUAACUCCGUGCCAGCAGCCGCGGUAAUACGGAGGGCGCAAGCGUUACUCGGAAUCACUGGGCGUAAAGAGCGUGUAGGCGGAUUAAAAAGUCAGAAGUGAAAUCCUAUAGCUUAACUAUAGAACUGCUUCUGAAACUCUUAAUCUAGAAUAUGGGAGAGGUAGAUGGAAUUUCUGGUGUAGGGGUAAUAUCCGUAGAGAUCAGAAGGAAUACCGAUUGCGAAGGCGAUCUACUAGAACAUUAUUGACGCUGAGACGCGAAAGCGUGGGGAGCAAACAGGAUUAGAUACCCCAGUAGUC
rnacentral:rRNA from 1 species